rnacentral:lncRNA from 1 species
AUGGAACGUCACAGAGUGCUCUUACACGAACCUAGAUGGUAGCGCCCACUACACACCAGGCUCUACGGUGUAGCCUAUUGCUCCCAGGCUACAAACCUGAACAGCAUGUUACUGUACUGAAUACUGCAGGCAAUUGUUACACAACGGUCCUGAAAUACAGAAGGAAUUGAGACUUUGAGAAGUUAUCUAGACCGAUGUUUUCCUCUAGGUUGAACUGUAUUUUGUAUUUUAAAACUGAUAUGCAUAUCUUACCACUUACAAAGAAGUAGGAGUUUAGCACGCAGUUUUCCCACAGUAGCUGGAUGAGGAAAAGAAGUUUCACAGCGUUUGUCUUCCUUACUAGGAGCUACGAAUUUUGCAAUCAUUCAUCUUUCAGGGAGGAAUGUCAACGUAUCCUUGUUACCCACGAAGUGUUCAAAACUGAAAAGGGAAUUUUUCAAACAUUUAUUCUUGUGCAGAAUGUGACAAUUCCAAAUUUUCAAAGUCAGAUUAAAUCUUCAACUUAAAAUAUAUUUUCAAACAGCGUAGCACACUUAGGGAUGUUUUUAAGGAAAUGAACAUUGUCAUCACUAUAUCAUCAAAGACUCAGAACAAUUUAGCUACAAACUCUGGCAUCUGCCUAGGGUGUAUCUAAUCUCUGACAAAUUUUCCACGCAGACAUAAGUGCAAAUCCAUUGCUAUUUUAAUUAUUUAAUCCAUUAUACUUAACUCUUUCCUCUCUUGCUAACAACUGGAGUUCUCUGUUCUCAUGCAAAUAUGAGCUAGAAAUAAAUCAUGAGGGAUGCUUAAGGAUUAUACAGAUAUAUGUAAUCUUUUCAGGCUACAGGUACUCAUAUAAUAAGAAUAAAUUUCAAAAGCAGCAUUCCUGUUUCACAGGCAUUGUCAGUCCUCUCAAUUUCCCAUCAUCUACAUCCUGUAAUUCUUAAUAUUCAUGAAAUGUAAGCCAUUGUUAUUCUAUUAAAACUGGCUUCUUUCCAAUUUUCUUAACACAGUUAUACAUAUGUCAAACCUCAAAA